GAGGGUGCAAGCGUUACUCGGAAUCACUGGGCGUAAAGGACACGUAGGCGGAUUGGAAAGUCAGAUGUGAAAUCCUACAGCUUAACUGUAGAACUGCAUUUGAAACUUCUAAUCUAGAGUAUGGGAGGGGGAGAUGGAAUUAGUGGUGUAGGGGUAAAAUCCGUAGAUAUCACUAGGAAUACCGAAGGCGAAGGCGAUCUCCUGGAACAUAACUGACGCUAAGGUGUGAAAGCGUGGGGAGCAAACGGGAUUAGAUACCCCGGUAGUCCACGCCCUAAACGAUGAACACUAGUCGUCGGGAUGCUAGUCAUCUCGGUGAUGCACUUAACAGAUUAAGUGUUCCGCCUGGGGAGUACGGUCGCAAGAUUAAAACUCAAAGGAAUAGACGGGGACCCGCACAAGUGGUGGAGCAUGUGGUUUAAUUCGAAGAUACGCGAAGAACCUUACCUAGCCUUGACAUUGAUUGAAUUUUCCAGAGAUGGAGAAGUGCCCUUCGGGGAACAUGAAAACAGGUGCUGCACGGCUGUCGUCAGCUCGUGUCGUGAGAUGUUGGGUUAAGUCCCGCAACGAGCGCAACCCUCGUCAAUAGUUGCCAGCAGGUUAAGCUGGGCACUUUAUUGAGACUGCCUUCGCAAGGAGGAGGAAGGUGAGGACGACGUCAAGUCAUCAUGGCCCUUAUGGCUAGGGCUACACACGUGCUACAAUGGGGCGUACAGAGAGUUGCGAUACCGUGAGGUGGAGCCAAUCUCAUAAAGCGUCUCUCAGUUCGGAUUGAAGUCUGCAACUCGACUUCAUGAAGCUGGAAUCACUAGUAAUCGUAGAUCAGCAAUGCUACGGUGAAUACGUUCCCGGGUCUUGCACACACUGCCCGUC
rnacentral:rRNA from 1 species